AAACCGCCUAGAGGUAAACGGGUGGAUCCGCAAAGUCGGCCCGGGGAAUUCAACUCGCCGUGUCUGGUGAGGCGGACCGGUGGGGCUACGGGAUGCGUCAAGCACUCGCCUCGCUGUCCGGCCUCCGUCGGCGGGCGCACUUUCCCCGGGUAGAGCGCCACGACCGGUUUCGGGGCGGUCAGAAGCCGGUCGAGAAGGUGACCCGUCCCGUCCUUGCGGCGGCGAUGGGAGUUUAUAGCUCGGCCAGGUCGGCUCGUCCCGAGACCGAGGACUGUGCCGCGACCCACCGUGCCAUCGGCUCUCGGUCUGCGUUCGACUGGGGAAGCGCUGCUUGCAGCUCUCCCCGACUGCGUGGGCUGUUGUGGUCGGUACGCACAGGGUCGCCACGGGUCUGUGGCGAAUCGGUCGGUCCUCCACCCGACCCGUCUUGAAACACGGACCAAGGAGUCUAACAUGUGCGCGAGUCAUGGGGACUCGUACGAAACCCAAAGGCACAAUGAAAGUGAAGACUGAUCUCCGGUCGGUCUAGGUAGGAUCCCUGGCUUCUGGGCCAGGGCGCACUACCGGCCCGUCUCGAUCGCAUCGUCGAUGGGGCGGAGCAAGAGCGUACACGUUGGGACCCGAAAGAUGGUGAACUAUGCCUGAGUAGGACGAAGCCAG
rnacentral:rRNA from 1 species